UUGGGUGCUAACUUUUGUUACUGAUUACAACAGAAAUUUAAAUAGGUUUCAUUUUUUUCUGAUUUUUUUAGAUUCUACAGCUUAUAUUUUGCAAACAAAUAUUAGUUUAUAACUCAGGAUGGAACUUCAUUUGCUGAUUUUUCAUAUUGUGUUGCUCUGGAUAACAGAUCCUUCAUUAAGCAGCAAAAUCAUUCAGACUUCUGAUGUGAUCGAAAAUCCAGGAAAUAACGUGAACCUCAGUUGCACACAUUCAUACAAGGAUUAUUUUUACCUUUAUUGGUACCAACAAACAAGACAGGACACAUCACUGAAGCUUACAGGAUACCUCUACACAACCACCUUAAAUAAAGAGACAGACUAUGAGAAGCGCUUUCAUAUUUAUGGAGAUGCAAAAAGUGAAGGGACCCUGCAGAUCUCCAACCUUAAUUCACAUGACAGUGCAGUGUAUUUCUGUGCUGUGAGAGAAAGCACAGUGCUCAGCUUAUCUGCUACCUACUUCAAAAACUCACUGUAG